UUCAGAUGAUUUUGAUGGUGGUGUUGAUGGAUGAGAAUUUUCAGGUGAAGUCGUCGUGAUGAAGACGACGAUGAAAGUGACGAGAGUGAAAAAAGAUUUUAAAAAACAGUGAGAGAGAAGAUAGAAAGAAUAAUGACGGAUGAAAAAAAAGAGAGAAAUAGUCCAAGAAACGAAAGGAUAGGGAUAAAGAGAUAGUCAAUGGGAUGGUGGUGAAAUCUGAUAAAUCAAUUAGAAUAAAAAAAAUAUGAUGAG
rnacentral:lncRNA from 1 species